rnacentral:rRNA from 1 species
GACGUAGGGCGCGAGCGUUGUCCGGAUUUAUUGGGCGUAAAGGGCGCGUAGGCGGCGACCCAAGUCAGAUGUGAAAGUCCUGGGCUUAACCUGGGGACUGCAUUUGAUACUGGGUUGCUUGAAUUCGGGAGAGGAUAGCGGAAUUCCCAGUGUAGAGGUGAAAUUCGUAGAUAUUGGGAAGAACACCGGUGGCGAAGGCGGCUAUCUGGACCGACAUUGACGCUGAGGCGCGAAAGCGUGGGGAGCAAACAGG